UACGAAGGGGGCUAGCGUUGUUCGGAUUUACUGGGCGUAAAGGGCGCGUAGGCGGGCUGAUAAGUCAGGGGUGAAAUCCCAAGGCUCAACCUUGGAACUGCCUUUGAUACUGUUUGUCUUGAGUUCGAGAGAGGUAAGUGGAACUGCGAGUGUAGAGGUGAAAUUCGUAGAUAUUCGCAAGAACACCAGUGGCGAAGGCGGCUUACUGGCUCGAAACUGACGCUGAGGCGCGAAAGCGUGGGGAGCAAACAGG
rnacentral:rRNA from 1 species